UUUAUUGGAGAGUUUGAUCCUGGCUCAGGAUGAACGCUGGCGGCGUGCCUAAUACAUGCAAGUCGAGCGAAUGGAUUAAGAGCUUGCUCUUAUGAAGUUAGCGGCGGACGGGUGAGUAACACGUGGGUAACCUGCCCAUAAGACUGGGAUAACUCCGGGAAACCGGGGCUAAUACCGGAUAAUAUUUUGAACCGCAUGGUUCGAAAUUGAAAGGCGGCUUCGGCUGUCACUUAUGGAUGGACCCGCGUCGCAUUAGCUAGUUGGUGAGGUAACGGCUCACCAAGGCAACGAUGCGUAGCCGACCUGAGAGGGUGAUCGGCCACACUGGGACUGAGACACGGCCCAGACUCCUACGGGGAGGCAGCAGUAGGGAAUCUUCCGCAAUGGACGAAAGUCUGACGGAGCAACGCCGCGUGAGUGAUG
rnacentral:rRNA from 1 species